AUGGAUCAAUUUUGCUACUCUUCUUUGGCAGAGAGAAUCAGAGUGUCCCAGCCACAGACCCGUUUGCCUCAGGAAGCUGAGCUCGUCUGGAUUCCCACCAUAGCCUGGGCCCCUCUGCUCCUCACACUGCUCACUUACUGCUCAGGGGUCAGUUCACAGGCUGUGGUGGCUCAGGAGCCCUCAGUGUUCAUUGCCCCAGGAGGGGCCAUCACUCUGUCCUGCAGCCUGAGCACUGGAGCCAUCACCACCAGCAACUAUCCCUCCUGGUACCAGCAGAAACCAGGCUCUGCUCCUCGGAUGCUCAUAUAUGAAACUAAUAAGAGACCCUCAGGGAUCCCAGCCCGGUUCUCUGGGUCCAUUUCCAGUAACGACGCUGCCCUGGCCAUCACCGGUGUCCAGGUAGAGGACGACGCUGACUAUUACUGUGCUGUGUACACGGGUAGCAGUGGUGAACUAUACACAGUGAUACAGCGAGUUUGUGCUGACUCAGCCACCCUCAGUAUCAGCGUCUCCUGGGCAAACGGUUACGAUCUCCUGUGCCAGGAGCAGCGGCAGCAUCAGUGA